GCCGACCCAGCAGCGUUUACAUAGACCCAACCGGCUCCCGGGUUACUGUAAGCUCAAAAUGUGUGCACUGUCUCGAAGGGACAGAAGGGAGGUUUGGGGGGAGGGUAAUUUGCAUUCUCCUCUGGGAAGUUGGGGUAGCCUCUAGACUACAGCUCUCACUACUUCACCCCAAAGCAUCACCUGACUUCCGUCUAACACCCUUCCCAGACCACAGACCUUCACUUUGGGGGAUGAAGUUCGAGUCAUCUUUCCUGCCUCACCACACAGCUGAUGUCACCCCUAUGUCUAAGAACCUGGUAAUUCACACACCCACCAAGCCCUUUAGGAUACUGAUUAAUAACGGAUGGCUAAGAACCGGCUCCAUAGAGAAAAGAGGGGUGGUGUCUUCAGAGGAGGGCUAACGAAUCAUGCGCCAUAGUUUGCUGUUACUGUCUCGUAAAAAU
rnacentral:lncRNA from 1 species